GCAACUUAAGCAGAAUUAAACUAAUGUUUACAUUGAGAUUAUCAGUAUCAGCAGUCAACAUUUUGUGUACCCUGGGAAGCAUAUCCUUUUGGAGACACUUUUGUAUUUCCGAAAGUUCAGAAAAGCCAAUGACUUUGCCAGACUCUAUCAAACUAGUAUUUUGAAUAUCUUGCAUAGAAUCCUUGGUAACAUGAUCAGAAGUAGUCUCUGAGAAAUGGAACUGGUCCAAGAUGGAGCUUAUUAACCGCAAUAACACCUUUUG
rnacentral:misc_RNA from 1 species